UACGUAGGGUGCGAGCGUUGCCCGGAUUUAUUGGGCGUAAAGGGCGCGUAGGCGGCCACGCACGUCCGUUGUGAAAUCGCCCGGCUCAACUGGGCGGGGUCAGCGGAUACGGUGUGGCUAGAGCAAGCUAGGGGGCAAUGGAAUUCCCGGUGUAGUGGUGGAAUGCGUAGAUAGUCGGAGAGGAACACCUGCGGCGAAGGCGGGUUGCUGGGCU
rnacentral:rRNA from 1 species